AAGGUAUAAACGAUGCCCCCCAUAGGGGGCUUCACAGAGCAUCCACGUUAGGCACGUCGCUUGCACGGGUUGGGCCGCUGGCCUCGCUAGCCUUCCAGCGAUUGGGCCACGCGUCGUACAGCAGUUGGACACGAAGUCGUGCGAAGAGAGACAGAACGAAAGUGAGACAAAACGAGUGCCCAGGCCAAACCCUAUCCCAAUCCUCCCCAAUCCCGUAACCGCCGCCUCCCCAGCUCCCGCAGCAGCCGCCUCGCUCCCUGCCGCCGCCUCCCCAGCCGCAGCCGUCGCCUCACUCCCCACCGCCACCUCCCCAGACGCAGCCGUCGCCUCGCUCCCCACCGCCGAUCUCCUCUCCGGCGAGCGCCGUGGGCCGCGUCCUCCCCCUCAUCAAGGCCAAGGACGAGCGGUGGGGGUUGGUGUUGAACCACAAGGGCCUCACCGUGGCGGGCUCGGCGCUGCUGGCACGGCCAUGCCGUGUUCAUCGGCUCCGGCAAGGCAGGGGACGUGGGCGUCGGCUGCGGCCGUUCUCGGCGGCUUUCUGGCCGUGAUGGGAUCCAAGAGGACAUGGCUGGCGCGGCCGCCAUCUCCUCGGUGUUCAUCGGCUCCGUCGAUGCAGGGACUUGGGCAUCGGCCGCUCGGCGGCACGCUGGCCGGCGGCGGUGAACACGUGGAGCCACUCUUUGAGUUCUACCACAAGAUUCAGGAGGACAUCGAGGCCAACCUCUCUGAACCGCCGUCCUCACCAUCAAGAAUAUGUCCACCUACAGGUCUAUAGCACACCCCUCUACCUAUCAGCACAAUUUUCCUCAUGUUUUUUGAAGAGGAUUAUUAUUUUCUGUUUUUGUUUCCCAAAGUCCUCCUCUGAAAACAGAUCCGCACUAUGUAAGGUCAUGCAAUUAGGUAAACCAUCAUGUUCCUAUUUAUAUGUUUCCAUUAAUAACCAUCAUGUCUAAAAAGUUCCCUAGAUUUUUUUGGAUCAUCAUUACUCUCAGAAAAGCUAAAAGCUAGGUGACUAGAUUUUUUGGAUCAUCCGGCCUAGAUUUAACCUCGCUGAACAUGACAUUUUGGUUUGCAGAUUUUGUAUUGUAUGGACCUCCUCUUCAUGUGUUAUUCAAUGUCGAGCUCGACAAAGUGUAGAAUUGAACUGUUGCAUAUGUGUCUAUGAAAUCUGCAGUAGGUACAUGAAUUUUACUUGGCAUAAAGAUUUCAGAUUGCUGCAGAUUGUUCCCUCUUUAUUUUUCUGCCCUUUGCUUUAUAUACUGAAGCUUUGGGUAUUUUUAUAAUCGUAGGUUGAAUUUGUUGACGUUUUGUUUGACCUUUUGCAGGCUAUCAGGUAAGUAUCCUCCCCACAAAAAGAAACAUGUAGCUAUUUGAUAUAUGAAAGAAAGCACAUUACGAGCUCCCCUAUUUUUACAAAAAAUUCUUAAUUGAAAGAGUUAAGGAAAUUGGUUAAUCAUAGUUUAUUAGCUGAACCGAUUAAGAUGAUUUGUUAAAACAAUGUCCAAGCAUAGAUGAAUCAUCCUCCGUGGAUCAUGGCCUUUAACCUUGCUUCUGUAAUGUGACAAGCUACGAUUGUCCAUAGUGAGAUAGCUGCUUCUUUCUUAGUAGUUGCCUAGAUAUUUUAAAUAAUUACAUGAAGCCAACUUUGCUUUGGUUCCCCAUAAAUAUAGCUGAUGUAUCCAUCUAUUUGAUUUUCUGCAUUUUUUUGAUCUUUUGGUUCAGGAGAGAUAGGAAAAUAUCAGAAUUGAGUUGUUUCCUGAAGUAAAUUAGCCAGCGGGCCUCACCCCGCGUUCCGGAAGUAGAUGAUAGUAGUUUCAAACUUGCUUAGAUAGUAUUUUCUUGAGAUUUAGGAUGUACCUUUUGAUUCUCAGUUAUCAAAUGAGUGAUUUAUUUAUUUUACUGAUGGUAAGGAAUGAUAACUUUGGCCUAUUAAAAUUUUGAAGUGUUCACCAUAGAUUUCUAAAUUCAUUCAUGCUGGCAUAAUUUAUUUUGUUUCUAACUAUGAACACUAAUUAUUCUCUGGUUUCGUCUUUACCCGUGAACGAUAUAACAAGACAUGUUGAUUCCUAUGUUUUGCAUCUAUACCACUCUGUUUACAUUAACAUUAAUAGACAUGGAAACUAUUGCAGUGGUGGUGGAGUGUCUGCUGCUGCAAAAAUUGCAGUUUAUUCAAAGGAACUGAAGCAAGUCUUUACAGAUGUGGGAGAAUCCUUGAGGAUUUGAUGCACAAGAUCUUCUACGGAACGAAAAGAAGAGUAUACAAUGACCUACAGGCCUGGAUAGCAAGAUAUAGUUGCCUAUGUGGUGCAGGUGCUCCCGUGCCUCUGCCUGCACCUCCUCUAUGAGCUCACCUCCUCUGCUAUUCUGGCCUGGCCUGGCCAUGUCCUCCCGCAGCGUGGUGCGGUGGUAGGCUAUGGUUUUCUGGCCCCUGCUACAGAGAUAAGGAGAUUGUGAUAGCUGCAGCUGAAGAUGGAUAAAGGGGUACUGAAAAACUUGCGUAAGCCAUAUAUUUGAAGAUAUUAUUGGAAGGAUCAGUAUGGUCUCAGACAUCAUAGUUGUCCACACCAUGCAUCAGAAAAUGCCUACGAACCCGAGACGAUUAUGCUCAAGGAUCCUCUGGUUUCUUUUACGGAAGAUGAUUCUGCUGAUGAUUUAUGUACCUUACUGUUUCUGGCUGUGUAAAUCUGCAAGGGCAAUGCAAUGUGGCUGGCUCUUUCAGAUGAGCGUGCGGUUCAUUUUGAUGCAGAAUCAGUAUGUGCUAUAUGACAUAAAGAGCCAAUCAUUACUAUUUUGUGGGAACAUCACCUAAGACAGCUCAUGGUACUCCUGCUCAUCGCUUCUUAAUAAUCUGUAUAGUUUGGUGAAUUCAUAUUUCAUAUUUAUUGCACUAAAGCUUCCAUUCUCUCCUUGUGUUCGUUUUAUUGGUAAGUGCAAGUUACAAAAAUUUCAGCUUUGUUGACAUUGACAAGGGGCUGUGGACCUGCAGUUCUUCACGAAUGAUGAGGCCGCGGUGAGAGAGAGGUUUCAUGUUUUGGUAUCAUUAUGUCCACUGCUAAUUUCUGUGGUGAAUUUUGCUUCAAUAUAUUUUUUAUUUAUCCUACUACCUUAUUAUCACAUAACUAUUGUAAUAAUAAUUGGAAGUCUACUUAUGUUUCUAAUAGUUUUCGACAGGAAAAUCAAGGCUGAGCUUUUAAUUACAUUUAGGUUCAAGAAAAACAUUCUCCCUCCGAUCCAUAUUGUACAUAAGUACAAAGUUUCUGGCACUUAUUAUUGAUCGGAGGGAGUAACUGAUUCAUUAAUAUGUGGAAAGACACCGGAAUGUAUGCCUUAAUAUAUGCAAUCAUUGGUAUUUGUUUCUAUUCUUUUAUAACUUAGUAGUUCCUAGCUAGCUAUAUAUGGCACAUGCAAUAGUAGUACUGCUAAAUAUGCAAUCAUUAAUAUUUGUUUCUAUUCUCUUAUAUUUUUAUCAUAUAAUUGAGAGCAUAGUUUUUGGCAUAUCUCUGAAUUCAUUAAUAUUUCAUCGAAGGCUUCUUCAGAUGGCCUGAUCUCUGAAUUCUGUACUGAUAAAAGUCUUCGUAUUCUGUGCGUUUAAAUAUAUGCUUUGGGAUGGCUAAAUAAAUGAAUAUGCUGGGAACUUAUGAAGCUGGAAUAAUUAUACUUACCUGGGCUUCUACCAUUUGACCAAUUGCCUGCCUAAUUUUUGUCCUCAUAUUUUGUUCAACCGAAUCCUGGUGAGUAACAUGGUACCCUUCUACAGACCCCUGUUUCUUGAUUAGAUUGCAGUGAAAGAAUUAUUAUGCAGUUCUUAGAGAAUUAAUGUAUUAUUUAAAUUCAAUGGAUGCAUUUUAGUAAAUUACGCAUAUCUUGAUCGUUGUUGUUGCAAGUGGCUUGGUGAGAAAAGAUAGAUAAUGUAGGGCGGUUAUAUGCUUGCCGGACGUGGACACAUAUGCAUGGUGCAGAUGACCAAACAGAUGCACGCCAAUGUGCCUCUUUCUAUUGAUUUUUUAUAAAAUAUAUUUAUCCUGAAAAAAGGAACAAAUAUGUACUUUGUUAUGUUACUUUGUUUCUCUGUAUUGUAAUAAAUAAUAUAUAAAAAUUGCAAAAGGUUCAGUUGGCACAAAAACUUGCAUUUUAUUUUUUUGAAAUUAAUUGAAUAUGAAGCCAACUACUCAGAUGCGUCCAGUCUAUAUUUAUUAUGGGGGUCUUUCAUUUAGCUUCUAAUGGCUGCUUGCCAGCUAAUAGAAAUAAUAUUUUUGUUGUUUCUUGGCUGAACUUUUCCCAUAUCAUGAAGUUGAGCUUUCUCGAAUUGUUUGCUUGCCAAAUUUUCUUCUUCAGUUGUACUUGUGAUUGAUCAACGGUUUGCUCAUGGUUUCAUUUGGUGUAUAAUUCUACCACAGGUGUCGGGAUGCAGAGGCGAGUAGCAAGCUUUUUAAGUUGCGACUCAAAAGUGAAUCGCCAACCCCCUGCAACUCAUUGUGUAGCCGACAAAAAUCGUUUUAUAGUCAUCACAAGUCGUUGUAUAGUCGCGAGCAAAUAUACAACGACUCGGUGGCUGUACAACGACUCAAAGAGAAGUUGAUAUUUAAUGCCUACAGAUGCUGGCUGUAGCUAUUCAGUGUCUAAAUUACCAUCGGCAGUCAAAGGAAAUACGAAGAAAAAUUUGUUCAGGGUACAUUGUGUUACUGCUACGUUAUGUGUGCUUUUUAUUAUUAGCAUGUGGUAUUGUAUUGUGCUAUAGUUUGUUUGUACUGCUUUGGCUAAAUACAGUUUACCGGUGACUAUUCCUUAUUUUUGUGCAUUUAGUCUUUUUGUACAGAAAUAACAAAGCUUAAGGGAUCCUAUUUUAUAAUAGGUAAGUUGAAUAUAAGGUUCCUGAGUCUAUGCUC